UUUUUUUUUUCAUCUCUUAUGAAAAAGUUAGUAACAAUUUAUUCUCCAUGCCCUCAGGAAAAGACUAAAUUAAACGAAAACUUAAGAUAUGCUGUUGGCUUAGAUUUCUAGUUAGAGUGCCUGAGCUACAAAUAAGUUUAUGCAAGUUUAUUGUUCCUAACAAACACUUACAGUAAUGAUACAUUUGCCAAGCAGACAGACUAGUCAUUGUUGAGGGAGGGGCGAUAUGUUCAUUGUCUUUCUGUUACAGCACUUGCUGUCAAACUCCUUCUCCGUAAGUCUUCUCUGAGUGGCAGAACCACUGACAUCUUCUGGAAAAGCCAGCAGGUACUGUUCCUCUGGGGAAAGGCUGCUUUUAUACCACAUGAGUAUUAAGCUUCAUUAAUCAUAUACUUAAAACAAUUCACAGGAAAUCAUCAGUAGUAAGUUUCUUAUGGAUUUCCUGUAUGAUUUUCCUUACAGUUAACAUGGAGAAGUGUUUGGCUCUUGGCCAAAUAAUACAGAUGCCUAAAAAUAGCCAGGUGUAACACCCAGCAUAAUCCCCCAGAGAAAAGACCUUGCAAAUGUUUUUAAUAGGCAUAUGUGCUGCCAUGCACAAACUCUCUGAACACAGCUAGCUGCUUCAGCAUGUGUCUCUCUGCCCUUGACAAAAUUCUGCAGUGCUAGCAGUGCUGCAAAGGGCUCAGAACUCUUAGUUCCAUAGAGGCUGAGUUCUAUGGUGUUCACCAGUUUUACCAUUGUUUUACCUGUAGCUUUGCAGUACUUGAAAAUGGAGUAAAACCUCUCUCUGUGAUGGGAAGUGCUACUUACUGUUGGGAAUGGUAUCACUGACAUCUACACAGAAACAAAAGGUGAUGUAAAAGAUAAAGAAAAGCAGUGCCUCAAGCCAUUGAUGGUGAGGAGAAGGAGUGUCCAAAGGAAUAUGGCUGGUGCCAGUGUUGUGCACCUCCAGAGAAGGAAGAGAGGCAGAAGUAAGGAUCCUGCCAACCUGGGGUGGCUCUGAUGCUGUUUCCUGAGAGGACACCCAAAGCUAGGGCAGGUCUUCAGAUACAAAUGGCUAUUGUUUACUUAUGGCUUUCAUUUUAUCUGGGAUUUUCUGUUUCUUUUAAGUCUAGUUGGAAAAAGAUGCUGUGGAAAUAUUUAUCUUCAGUAUGAAAACACAGUAGGAACAGUAAUGGUGUACAGUGUAGUGCAGUUUCUAUAUUGUGUCUGACCAGCAGUUGAACAAUGCACAUGCAGACUUCUGUCAGUCUCCUUGGCUCCAAAUGAUUUUUGAAGGCAACAACUUGAGCAACACUCUUUCUCUCAGACUUCAAAGAUAUUCCUGCAUAGAUGCAAAGUGAUAGCACAUAGUUAGGUCACUGAGUUAUCCAUAGCUUAUAAAUAAUGCGAACAUUUAUCACUUAUGUAUGUAAUAAGCAUUACCAUCCUGUAUGAGGUAAAUAAAAUGUCCAUGUAAUUAUAUAUUUUUAUUUUUUGCAGUGACUUACAUCCUAGGCCAUAAUAGAAUUGCAGCUUUUACAUUUCAUAAUAAACUAGGAAACAAUGCAGCACUGGGAGAGAUUUCCAGUGAACUUUUCCCAAAGGACGCCAGAAAAAGGCAUUUUUAAAACAUACCCUACUGUUUAUUCAGGGUAGGAAUUAUUAUUUUAACUAUGGUUACUUGUCUGUAUCUAUCCACAAGACGCAUACAAGGAACAAAAUAGUCAUGUUAAACUCAGGAAUACUGAAGAUAUGUUCGAGCCUUUACAGUUCAGUGGCUUAAAACUAAACUAGAAUCCUCAAAGUUUGCAAUUCUUUGUCAAUAAAAAUAGUCUGUCUGGAAGUAAGACUAUAAUACGAUCCUUACUAUUAAUAUAGCAUGAAUGAUGUUCAGCUGUGGAGUAAUGAGAAAUGAGGAGGAACAGCAGGUUUUCAGAGUUCCUGGCCAUUGGUCUAUCAAUUACUCAUCUUGCUGAGACCCCAGGAGAUCUGGCAGUUUCCUGGCUGCAACUCCUUUGGGGCAGCUUUUCUGUGUCAAAGGAGUCACUGUACUACCUGAGGAAAAGGCUACCUGGGAAGUCUUUGUGCAACAAGUCAAGUCUAGUUGAAAAUUAUGUUCAAGGUAGCAUGAGAGACAGUGUAAAAUGAUCUUAACAAAUCUGAAGUUUUGCCUUUUUCUUGACUGCAGUGGCUAGAAAUAUUAUCAGCUGAUUAAAGACUGGAAUCCAUUAGACCAAGCUAGUAUCUGGGUAUAAGCCUCACAGAAUAUUUUGAGGUGAUUCAAUCUCUUCAUCUCUUUUUCCUUUGUCUAGUAUUUCAGUGUACACAGCAGCAAAGUCUAAAUCCCCAGACCUCGAAUUGCAGGUGUAACCUUGUUGGAAAACAUAAAACUUAAUCCUACUUGCUUUUCCCUUUUUUCACAGAGAUGUUUUCUUAAAUAAGAUACAACUGUAAAGCAAGAGAAAGGACACCAGGUGUUGUUUGAAAUGGCAUCUUUGCAUUUUAAGAGUAUCACAUGCCAACAAAAGAGAUGUACAUCUGGUUAGCUGGCUUUAGAUGACAGAUUCCUGCCUGAGCAAAAUGUCAGCGUCUAUGUAGGGAUGCACAGCCAGACUUUGGGUGACUUCUACCAAGGAUUUAUAGGCUUCCCUUUCUUUUUGGCAGAAGUGUAUCAAGGCAGCAUGAAGGUUAAACAAAUUUUGUUGUUGUUGUUGUUUUUCCCCCUCAACAAAUACUGUGCAAAGCUAAUGUCCCCUUGAAAUAAUAUUUAUUUACACAACUUCUUGGCAGAAAUUCCCACCUGGCUUUUUUUUUUUCCCCCCUAAGAUUUUUUCAUCAUUCUGUUCUUCACAAUCUCCAAACUCCAUGUUCCACUCCUACCAGUCCUGAAUUAUGCUCACACAUACGUUACAGUAAACAUAUGCAUUGUUUUCUCCAAAGUAUUCUAAAUUCUUGCAGUCUCAGGAGAGGAACAAGAAGAUGACCUCAGGAAAGAAAUCAUAAAUAGAUUCACGUUUUGCACUUGUGACUAUACACUUUAAUCUAAUUGAGCAUUCAUGGAAAAAAGUCUGCUUUAUUACAUACCAUAAAUUCAAGAUAAUUCUAUUUAAUGUUCCUUUAACUGACAAAAAAAAAAAAAAAAGAUAAA
ensembl:lncRNA